AUGGACAUUCUGCCCAGGCGAGAGGUGGAUCAUCUCUGCCUGUCCCUGAGUGAGACCAUCCUGGCUGCAUGUUUUCUGUUCUGUGAAGGGACUUCUGCCUGAGGACUGCCCCUCUUCCUCCUCAUUGUCUGAAUCCUCCAGAGUUUCACCACUGGAGAAGUGGAUGAUCAUCUUCUGUUUGGACGAGGCAGGGCGCCCAGACUCCAUUACCUGACAGAUUGGACAGCUGUACUGUACGUUCAUCCACGCUGGAGUUAUCGGGAAAAAAACAACUACAGGACACAGGCUCAGUCUUGAAACCUGAGACAC